rnacentral:rRNA from 1 species
ACUGUGGCAAUUCUAGAGCUAAUACAUGCACCAAAGCUCAAACUAAAAGGAUGAGCGCAUCUAUUAGAAUGAAUAAACCAAUGGGGUUUGUAAAAGAACUCAUAAAAUAAUUGGUGAAUCUGAAUAGCUAUAGCUGAUCGCAUGGUCUUGUACCGGCGACGUAUCUCACAAGUGUCUGCCUUAUCAACUUUCGAUGGUAGUUUAUGUGCCUACCAUGGUUGUAACGGGUAACGGAGAAUAAGGGUUCGACUCCGGAGAGGGAGCCUGAGAAACGGCUACCACAUCCAAGGAAGGCAGCAGGCGCGCAAAUUACCCACUCUCGGCAUGAGGAGGUAGUGACGAAAAAUAACGAGACCGUUCUCUUUGAGGCCGGUUAUCGGAAUGGGUACAAUUUAAACCUGUUAACGAGGAUCUAUGAGAGGGCAAGUCUGGUGCCAGCAGCCGCGGUAAUUCCAGCUCUCAAAGUGUAUAUCGUCAUUGCUGCGGUUAAAAAGCUCGUAGUUGGAUCUGCGUCUUAGGACUUGGUCCAUCCGAUUGGAUGUGAACUAAGAACCUAGACUAAUAUUUAGCUAGUUUUACUGUAUGUUACCUUAAUUGGUUGCAUAUAGUGGCUGGCAUGUUUACCUUGAAAAAAUUAGAGUGCUUAACGCGGGCUUAUAAUGCUUGAAUACUCGUGCAUGGAAUAAUGAAAUAGGAUCUUGAUUGUUGUAUGCCUAUUUUGUUGGUUUAAAACAUAAAUACAAUUGAGAUAAUGGUUAAGAGGGACGGACGGGGGCAUUCGUAUCGCUGCGUGAGAGGUGAAAUUCUUGGACCGUAGCGAGACGCCCAACUGCGAAAGCAUUUGCCAAGAAUGUCUUCAUUAAUCA